CCCUUAGAUGUUCUGGGCCGCACGCGCGCUACACUGACGAUGGCAACGAGUUUUUCCUUCACCGAAAGGUGUGGGUAAUCUUUUGAAACAUCGUCGUGCUGGGGAUAGAUCAUUGCAAUUUUUGAUCUUGAACGAGGAAUUCCUAGUAAGCGCGAGUCAUCAGCUCGCGUUGAUUACGUCCCUGCCCUUUGUACACACCGCCCGUCGCUACUACCGAUUGAAUGGUUUAGUGAGGACUCCUGAUUGGCGCCGCCGCCCCGGCAACGGAGCAGCGGACUGCCGAAAAGUUGUUCAAACUUGAUCAUUUAGAGGAAGUAAAAGUCGUAACA
rnacentral:rRNA from 1 species